GCUCAGGGUCUGGGACACAAAGCCGGGCUCAGGGACACACAGACAAGUUUCAGUAUUAAGGUAGGAGAUUGGGGUCCAUGUGGAGAAUCGGAAGCAAGGUGGUCUUAGGCGGUGCAUGGAGACGGUGUAUACAGCCAAGGACAGUGAACAGAGGUGCAAGCCAGGCAGUGGGGACAGGACCGCCCUGGUCAGAGUAGACAGUAUCUGGAGCGCAGACACCCAGUCUGCCCCAGAAGGUACAGUCCAGGAGCAAUUCCAGCCAUCUGGACCAUGGCUGAGUAACUAGAAAUAAGAAGGAGAAAAAAAAUGCCUCAGAGGAGCCAAAACCAACACCACAGUCCCUCAUGAAAGAGCUGCUCCUGGGGCCCCCUCAGAGUCGGCCCUCAGCUGUUUGACGGCCGUGUUCCGUUGCAUCGUGGGAGCCGAGAGUCAGCAAGAGGAUCCACACGCAGGGCAGUGUGGGCAGCGCUCAGUCUGAUGGCCACAGAGGAACAAAAGCAAGAAAAAGAACAGGGCAUCUGGGGCCAUGGACCAGACACACCAGUUAACAUGGCUGUGAAAUCCAGCAGAGACCACCAAGGAGCCCACUAAGGCGCCGGUCAGAGCCAUGGAGCUUUGCUGGGGAAGAGCAGUCCAUAGGAGUCGGUAAUGCUGAGCACGAGGGAAACUGAGGAGCUGGAGGCGAUCUCAAGACAUCUGGCUAGGGGCUCCGGCCCAGAGAUGACUUCCUCACCGAGAUCACCACUAGGGCAGAAAGGCAAGUGCGGGGGAGCGAGGGAUUGGCGCCUGCUGCAUGUGCCCUGUUGGCAUGUGGGGAGAACCGUCUGCAGUGCAGAAGAGACCAGACGCAAAGUCCAGCCUGAACACACACUGCUGAUGUGGGCGGUGUAAGUCUGGGCAAAUUACAGAGCCACUGAGACGUGUGGAACUGAGCAGCGCACCUGUCUGUCCGCCGAUGAGGAGACCAGACCUGUUAAAUCAAGAAGUUAAAUUACUGCCACCUGACCAGAAACAGCGUUGAAAUGGAGACCCAAGUCCCUUUCAUGCCAGGGGUUCCUGUUCUUAAUACUACUACCAAACUGAGGAAAGUCCCACCAGACCCAGCCAUCUGCAUCUGGCCUCCUGAGCAUUUAUGAUAUGGUCCCUGGGCUCACGGAAGAACUCAGCAAACACCUACAGACUGACUGGCAGCUCUAAACAACAGCUCCUGUGGGUCCGAAUGAAUGACUCACUAUUUAUUGAACACCAACUGACAAAUUCCAUUGGAUAAAGUUGUCUAGGAUCUCACACAGAACACAGAAAAAAUGCGGACUGCAGCUUCAGGAAUGACCUAAUGAAGGAGAAAAUGGGCCAAAUACAAGACUUAGAAGCAGUGUUGGAAGAAGGCCCUGCAGCAGACAGAACCCCAGCCCUGGAGUCCAAGGGCCUGCAUGCUGGUCUCUCCCACCACAGUGUGAUGUCACCCAUCAUGUUUACCGCUCUGAUUCUGUUUCCUCACAUGAAAAGGUACUGAUUAAACUGGUCCUGAGUGCCAAAUUUAAAAAUCCAUGUAAAUCCCUUCAAAUUGUAGAAUGCGUUGAAAUGUCCAAGCAUGGGACCUGGCUGGGCUGGUCAGGGAAGUGAGUCCGGAAAAGGUCUGGAAAUAUUCUUCAUCCAGGGCAGUAAUUCUCAGACUUCUGUGGCAGGUACUUGGAGAUAAUAGGAUUUUUGAUUUACUGAAAUGUCUCCUUUACAGAAUUAUAUAAAACACAUUGUUUUUUAAAAUUUUUAAUUAAAACUUGCUGAUUAAAAAACAUAAAGUGCUAGAAAAUUCUGAAAGAUAAGGAAUUGCUAAAUUGAGGCAUUUUACAUACAAUCUAAAAUUCAGGAGCUCGUAUAGGUGGACAUGGUGAGAGGUAAUUUUCUCUCUGUUGUCAUGGAGAGGCAUGUAAUCAUGAACAUUUGAAAUUAGAGCAAAGAGUAGGGUGAAGCCAGCCUAAAAAGGCUUCAUGAACAGAACUAGACUUAGUGAUCUCUGUUAUUGAAUUCCAGUUUUGAAAAGAUCCUCAAGGGAAAGAAAAAGGCACUGAUACAUAUGGAGUGCCCCCUAUAUGUCAGAAAUGUUGCAGAAGUUAUCUCUAAUUUCACAGCAACUUGGCAAGGUCUGAAGAGGAUUUGAGGGGAUUGUAUAACCCACCCAGGUCACACAGCUAGCAAGUGACAAAAGCAACUCAAAUCCUUAUCUGUCUGACCCCAAAGUUCAGUCUCUUUCUACUACAGCAGGAGUUGGCAAACUACAGCCCAGCCCACCACCUUUAUUUUUGUACUACCUAUGAGUCAAGAAUGGUUUUUACAUGUUUAAAUGGUUAAAAAGAAGAAGAAAAAGAUUUUGUGACAUGUAAAGAUGAUGUGAAAUUUAAAUUUCAGUGGCCAUAAAUUAAGUUGUACAGGAGCAGAGCCACCUAUUUACUUACAUAUUAUCUAUGGCUGCUUGCUUUUGUGCUCCCACAGCAGAGCUGAGUGGUUGUGACAGAAACCAUAUGGCCCCCAAAGUCUAAAAUUUUUCUACCUGGCCCUUUACAGAAAAAAAUUUGCCCACCCCCUGCUCUAGACCAGACAGCUUUGUAAGUAAGUGAUCCAGCCUUCCCCUUGUGCAAAUGAGGAAACAUAAGGCCACAAAGAUUGAAUAAACGUGCUCCAAAUUAGCAAUAUUGGAAGAGACAUGGGCAUCUCACCCACAGCAUGGAGGCUGGGUCAAGGAGAGAGCUCAGGUGGGGAGGAACGGAGGAUGUCACCCUCAGACCGCACCCUUCCUCCGUGAAACAAUAAUGAAUGAGAACGUGGCUCAGCCACGUAAUGAUGUUGAUAACAGAUUAAUGAGAAAGAUGGUUUAAAAAAUGAUUUUUUAAAAGAAAUUGCCUAUGUAUAUGGUUGUGUGAAACUAGGUGUGAAUACAUACGUAUCUCCAUCCAAAAAUAAAGCAAAG